rnacentral:rRNA from 1 species
UGGGGAAUAUUGCACAAUGGGCGCAAGCCUGAUGCAGCCAUGCCGCGUGUAUGAAGAAGGCCUUCGGGUUGUAAAGUACUUUCAGCGGGGAGGAAGGUGUUGUGGUUAAUAACCACAGCAAUUGACGUUACCCGCAGAAGAAGCACCGGCUAACUCCGUGCCAGCAGCCGCGGUAAUACGGAGGGUGCAAGCGUUAAUCGGAAUUACUGGGCGUAAAGCGCACGCAGGCGGUCUGUCAAGUCGGAUGUGAAAUCCCCGGGCUCGACCUGGGAACUGCAUCCGAAACUGGCAGGCUUGAGUCUUGUAGAGGGGGGUAGAAUUCCAGGUGUAGCGGUGAAAUGCGUAGAGAUCUGGAGGAAUACCGGUGGCGAAGGCGGCCCCCUGGACAAAGACUGACGCUCAGGUGCGAAAGCGUGGGGAGCAAACA